UUUAACCCUCGCCCUCCCGAAUCCACUCGCAUCCCACUAAUGCACUAGCCUUGACACGCUGACCUGCCCCGGCGCCCCCCCCCUGCAUCCCGGAGCCCCCCCGUCCCGGGGGACCGCUGGUGUCACCGUGGCAACCGGUGAUGGUCAGCAGCCGGUGACCUGGGAGCCCUGGAGGGAGCCCUGGCCCUGGCCGGGGUCAGCGGGGUCAAUCAAUCUCAUUGCUAUGCACAGCGCCCUUCGUUAGCUGCCAGCGCCGCCAGCAGCUGCAGACAGAGCGGGGCAUUAAGGAAAACAAAUGGGCCGGAGCCGAGAGGGAGAAGCCCGGAUACGGCCGCAUUUGUCAGGCUCCGUAUCGGCAUGUGGCCAUCGCUCAGCAGCCCGUUAUACCUGGAAACGGCAGGGGAGCGCAGACAGAAGCCGUGUGGAUCUGGGUGUUUCACCAACCUGCGCAAAGCGAGCGGCCAAAUUUCCUGGGCUGCAGCCGCCCCUGGCCAGCGUCGCAGCUGCCCCCUGAGCCCGUCCUGCUCGUCACACCAAUGGGCUGCUCUGGGAGCAGGCAUCCCCGGAGGGUUUCCUCUGCUGCUGCCUGGGCAAACUGAGACAUCCUCUGAGCAUCCCCACGUCCCUGAGCAUCCUGCAUCUCCGAGCAUCCUGCAUCCCUGAGCAUCUCCAUAUCCCGCAGCAUCCCGCAUCCCGCAGCAUCCCACGUCCCUAAGCCAGCAGGUCCCAGGCACGGGGCCGAGGGCGCAGCAGGAGCCCCGCAGGGGUGGAGGGCUGCGGAGGGUGACGGCGACGUAGCACCUACUCUAAUGGGAUCCUCUCCACAAGUAAUUAAGCCUCGGCUAAUGCUAACCGUAAUGUGAUGUAUGUAUGCCUUUAACUAAUCAUUUAUUAGCCUCGUUGAUGGUUUGUCAAUAUUAAUUCAUUUAUUUAAACAACUCCGAGCUGUAAUGAAGAUGUUUGCUUUAAGGGGGAAAAAAGAGAUGGAGCUGCCAGGAGAUUUUUUGUUGACUCGAUGGAUGUCGCUCUGCCCUGGGUGAUGAGCAGCGUCCCUGCCCUCGAAACCCGGCCCCUCGCUGCCAGCGGUGUCCCCAACCUGGUGGCAGCCCCCGGAGCAUCCCGAGGGGCUGCUGUAGGGACCCCCCCCACCCCCCAGCACCUCUGGGCUGGCUGGGAUGGGGCCACCCAAACCAGCUGAGCGCUGUGGCCAGAACAACUUUGUUUCAAAGAAUUUCCAUCAGUUUGACCUUAAAAUGUUCCAGCCAUACUUAGACGCCUGAAGUCAGACCCAAAUGUGCUGCACGACCAGGAACAAUUGGUUUCUGCUGACUUUCGACUUGCUAAUGAUUUCAAAUUGGUUUUCAUUUCAAAUCAAAUUACUUCUAUUUAAUAUUUUUUUGAGGUGGGGGAGAAGGAAAUUGACAAGAAGCUGAAAAAGAUGUAUUUUUUGUCCCAUUUGAUAGCCCAGGUUGGGCUGGAUUUGCUCCUUCUUCUGCAGCCCUUGGGUGCCGAGGCCAGCAGGGUGCUCUCCAGGGGAGCAUCCCCAGGGAAGCUGGGUCCUGUGCCGGGGCUGUGCCAAGCGGCUCCUGCAACACGGGCUUUGGUGCUGGCCCUGGAUAUUGCAGCAGCUGCUUUCAGCUCUCCUCGUCAGCUUCUUAAUAUC
ensembl:lncRNA